rnacentral:rRNA from 1 species
UGGGGAAUAUUGGACAAUGGGCGCAAGCCUCAUCCAGCCAUGCCGCGUGUGUGAAGAAGGCCUUUUGGUUGUAAAGCACUUUAAGCGAGGAGGAGGCUACUUGGAUUAAUACUCUAGGAUAGUGGACGUUACUCGCAGAAUAAGCACCGGCUAACUCUGUGCCAGCAGCCGCGGUAAUACAGAGGGUGCGAGCGUUAAUCGGAUUUACUGGGCGUAAAGCGUGCGUAGGCGGCUUCUUAAGUCGGAUGUGAAAUCCCUGAGCUUAACUUAGGAAUUGCAUUCGAUACUGGGAAGCUAGAGUAUGGGAGAGGAUGGUAGAAUUCCAGGUGUAGCGGUGAAAUGCGUAGAGAUCUGGAGGAAUACCGAUGGCGAAGGCAGCCAUCUGGCCUAAUACUGACGCUGAGGUACGAAAGCAUGGGGAGCAAACAGG